UCAACCUGAGAGUUUGAUCCUGGCUCAGAGCGAACGCUGGCGGCAGGCCUAAUACAUGCAAGUCGAGCGCACCUUCGGGUGAGCGGCGGACGGGUGAGUAACGCGUGGGAAUAUGCCCUUUGGUACGGAACAACUGAGGGAAACUUCAGCUAAUACCGUAUGUGCCCUUCGGGGGAAAGAUUUAUCGCCAUUGGAGUAGCCCGCGUUGGAUUAGCUAGUUGGUAGGGUAAAGGCCUACCAAGGCUACGAUCCAUAGCUGGUCUGAGAGGAUGAUCAGCCACAUUGGGACUGAGACACGGCCCAAACUCCUACGGGAGGCAGCAGUAGGGAAUCUUGCGCAAUGGGCGAAAGCCUGACGCAGCCAUGCCGCGUGAAUGAUGAAGGUCUUAGGAUUGUAAAAUUCUUUCACCGGGGAAGAUAAUGACGGUACCCGGAGAAGAAGCCCCGGCUAACUUCGUGCCAGCAGCCGCGGUAAUACGAAGGGGGCUAGCGUUGCUCGGAAUUACUGGGCGUAAAGGGCGCGUAGGCGGAUAUUUAAGUUAGAGGUGAAAGCCCAGGGCUCAACCCUGGAACAGCCUUUAAUACUGGAUAUCUUGAGUUCGGGAGAGGUGAGUGGAACUCCGAGUGUAGAGGUGAAAUUCGUAGAUAUUCGGAAGAACACCAGUGGCGAAGGCGACUCACUGGCCCGAUACUGACGCUGAGGCGCGAAAGCGUGGGGAGCAAACAGGAUUAGAUACCCUGGUAGUCCACGCUGUAAACGAUGAGUGCUAGUUGUCGGCAUGCAUGCAUGUCGGUGACGCAGCUAACGCAU
rnacentral:rRNA from 1 species